rnacentral:rRNA from 1 species
AUUGAACGCUGGCGGCAGGCCUAACACAUGCAAGUCGAGCGGAUGAAGGGAGCUUGCUCCUGGAUUCAGCAGCGGACGGGUGAGUAAUGCCUAGGAAUCUGCCUGGUAGUGGGGGAUAACGUCCGGAAACGGGCGCUAAUACCGCACACGUCCUGAGGGAGAAAGUGGGGGAUCUUCGGACCUCACGCUAUCAGAUGAGCCUAGGUCGGAUUAGCUAGUUGGUGGGGUAAAGGCCUACCAAGGCGACGAUCCGUAACUGGUCUGAGAGGAUGAUCAGUCACACUGGAACUGAGACACGGUCCAGACUCCUACGGGAGGCAGCAGUGGGGAAUAUUGGACAAUGGGCGAAAGCCUGAUCCAGCCAUGCCGCGUGUGUGAAGAAGGUCUUCGGAUUGUAAAGCACUUUAAGUUGGGAGGAAGGGCAGUAAGUUAAUACCUUGCUGUUUUGACGUUACCAACAGAAUAAGCACCGGCUAACUUCGUG